GACGAACGCUGGCGGCGUGCCUAAUACACGCACGUAGAACGCCGUUGCGAACGGGUGAGUAACGCGUAGGUAACUGCCUCAUAGCGCGGGUUAACUAUUGGACACGAUAGCUACUCCCGCACACUGUGAGAUGGACCUGCGUUGUAUGAGCUAGUUGGGGAUGUAACGGCCCACCAAGGCGACGAUACAUAGCCGACCUGAGAGGAGGAGCGGCCACACUUGGAAGGAGACACGUGCCAGACGCCUACGGAAGGCAGCAGUAGGGAAUCUUCGGCAAUGGACGGAAGGCUGACAGGGCAACGCCGCGUGAGUGAAGAGGGUUGUCGGAUCGUAAAGCUCUGUUGGUAGAGAAGCGGUAACUAACCAGGAAGGGACGGCUAACGACGGGCCAGCAGCCGCGGUAAUUC
rnacentral:rRNA from 1 species